CCUACGGGAGGCUGCAGUGAGAAAUAUUGGUCAAUGGACGAGAGUCUGAACCAGCCAAGUAGCGUGAAGGAUGACUGCCCUAUGGGUUGUAAACUUCUUUUAUAUGGGAAUAAAACGUUCCACGUGUGGGAUUUUGUAUGUACCAUAUGAAUAAGGAUCGGCUAACUCCGUGCCAGCAGCCGCGGUAAUACGGAGGAUCCGAGCGUUAUCCGGAUUUAUUGGGUUUAAAGGGAGCGUAGGUGGAUUGUUAAGUCAGUUGUGAAAGUUUGCGGCUCAACCGUAAAAUUGCAGUUGAAACUGGCAGUCUUGAGUACAGUAGAGGUGGGCGGAAUUCGUGGUGUAGCGGUGAAAUGCUUAGAUAUCACGAAGAACUCCGAUUGCGAAGGCAGUUCACUGGACUGCAACUGACACUGAGGCUCGAAAGUGUGGGUAUCAAACAGGAUUAGAUACCCUUGUAGUC
rnacentral:rRNA from 1 species